rnacentral:ncRNA from 1 species
ACCAAGGAGUCUAACAUGUGCGCGAGCCGCGGGGCAGUACGAAACCCGUAAGGCGAAAUGAAGGUGAACGCCGGCGCGGUCCGGCGGAGGUUGGAUCCCGUCCCGUCGGGGCGGGCGCACUACCGGCCGAUCUUCUCCGCCCUGUCGGCGAGGUCGAGCGAGAGCGUGCAAGUCGGGACCCGAAAGAUGGUGAACUAUGCCUGAGGAGGUUGAAGCCAGAGGAAACUCUGGUGGAGGACCGUAGCGAUUCUGACGUGCAAAUCGAUCGUCAAAUUUGGGUAUAGGGGCGAAAGACUAAUCGAACCGUCUAGUAGCUGGUUCCCUUCGAAGUUUCCCUCAGGAUAGCUGGCGCUCUGUCGCAGUUUUAUCUGGUAAAGCGAAUGAUUAGAGGUCUUGGGGGCGAAACGCCCUCAACCUAUUCUCAAACUUUAAAUUGGUAAGAAGCCCGACUCGCUCGUUUGGAGCCGGGCAUGGAAUGCGAGUGCCAAGUGGGCCACUCUUGGUAAGCAGGACUGGCGAUGCGGGAUGAACCGAACGCCGGGUUAAGGCGCCCGACGCGACGCUCAUCAGAGCCCACAAAAGGUGUUGGUUGAUAUAGACAGCAGGACGGUGGCCAUGGAAGUCGGAAACCGCUAAGGAGUGUGUAACAACUCACCUGCCGAAUCAAUCAGCCCUGAAAAUGGAUGGCGCUGGAGCGU